rnacentral:rRNA from 1 species
CAUGCAAGUCGAACGGCAGCGCGGGGCAACCUGGCGGCGAGUGGCGAACGGGUGAGUUAAUACAUCGGAACGUCCCAGAAGUGGGGGAUAACGUAGCGAAAGUUACGCUAAUACCGCAUGGGUUCUACGGAAGAAAGUGGGGGACCGCAAGGCCUCAUGCUUUUGGAGCGGCCGAUGUCUGAUUAGCUAGUUGGUGAGGUAAAGGCUCACCAAGGCGACGAUCAGUAGCUGGUCUGAGAGGACGACCAGCCACACUGGGACUGAGACACGGCCCAGACUCCUACGGGAGGCAGCAGUGGGGAAUUUUGGACAAUGGGGGCAACCCUGAUCCAGCAAUGCCGCGUGAGUGAAGAAGGCCUUCGGGUUGUAAAGCUCUUUUGUCAGGGAAGAAAAGGUGGGGGCUAAUAUCCCCCGCAUAUGACGGUACCUGAA